AUUUUUCCAUAGGUGUAGAAAAUAGCACCUGUUUGCAUUUGCUCCAGGGUUGCUGCAGAUUCUGCAGCAGUCUGAUAGUUAGGAUAUUAGCAGAGUUUGUAGCCAGUUCAGCAAAGUCUUUGCUGCUUGCAGCCUGCAAAUGUAUCAGUUUGUUCUGGAGACCACCCCUUUUUCUGGGGAAAGAAGGCUCCAUUUUGAGAAACCUUUUCUGCCUUCUAGACUGAAGAAGAAACAACUUAGAUGUGCUUGCGUGGCCAAGCCAGGCCAACUCUGAAAAGACCAUCAACAUCAGGCAGAUUUGCAUCAGGUGCAUCCUUUACUGCAAAAUGAAGAGGACCCCAAAGAUCUUCCCGCCAGACAUCCUGCUUCCUUGUGCAAGUCACAUCCUCUCAACCUCAGAGGAAAACAAAGGAAACACUCUCUCAACAAGUCUGUCGGAAACCCCUUAGAUAAGCUCACUUUUGGGUCCCACAUGCCCAUUUGUUGGGCAGCUUGACUUCCAAGGAUUUCAACAAUGUCAGACUAUCAAUAUAACUAAGGUCUCCAUAGCCGUGAUCACCUCGGAGGAGGAGGAGUCCAGAUCUUCAAUUGGAGGACUAGAGAAGAAGAGAAAACGGCAAAAUAUUAGCAACAGAACCCUGUGUAGCUAUUUUGAAGGAAGAAAAAAAACAACCAGAAGAGAAGGAGGAAGGGUUUACCUUAUUGGAUACACUUUGAUCUACCUCCUUCCCCGACAGCAAGUCAAACAAUUUCCGCAUAAUUUCCUGAUGUUCUGCAAAGGAGAAAGGAGAACAAGGUCAGAGGGAGCAAGAAGGAGUUGCCUUGAGAGAGGAGCUGUUGUAGGGCCAUUUCUCUUCCCAUGGGAGAUUCAACCCCAAAGGGCCCCAAACCUUUAUUCAGAUGGGCCGUUCCUCCCCACCCCAUAUCACUUUGAAAAGGGGGGAAAACAGCAUCCCUGACUUCUUCUGGUGAUCUAGUACCAGACACAAGGAAGGUUUUGUCCCAUGUUAGCGAAACAUAUUAUUGUACAAUAAUUACAAACGGAUUCCAUUAAAUGUUUAGAUUUAUCAUGCAGUACUGUAACUAAAAUUAGAUAAAAGAUUUCUUUAUUAUUUAUUUAUUUACUAUAUUUAUAUACCACCUUUUUCACUGUGGGGGGGGGGGGCUUAAGGCGGUUUACAACAUACUAAUGGGAAAAAUUCAAUGUCAACAUACAUGUAGAUAGAAAAAAAUCAUUAGACACUAAAACAUCACUAUAACUUAAAAUCAUUAUUUAAUUUAAAACAGAUAAUUUGAUAAUAAUGAUGAAGAUACACUUUUAAAGGUGAAGAUCUGGGAGAGGAAACUGGAAAACGGGAUAAUCUUCGAAGAAGAUACGAAUCUUGAAUUUAAUGUUUGGUGACAAUAUUAUUCCUCUCUUGGAGGAAUAUGUAGAGUUUUUGAUAUUUUAGGUAAUUUCUGUAAUUGUAAUUGAUAUGAAGAAGUAGAUGUAUUAAUAAUAACUUUGUACACUGACAGUUGUCUCUUCUUCCUCUCUUUAACUCCCUCCCUCCCUUUUUGCCACAUUAUUGGUAUUUCUAACAAUUUAAUGUGUUAACAAUAACUCUCCCCACCUUUCCCCCCAUGUUUAUUAACUUUUUUCUCUUUCCUGCUUUCCCUUUCCCUCUUCUUGUGUUGUAAAAAUGGGAAAUGUUAAUAAACAUAUUUUUUAAAAGUAGGCCUAAACAUCCAACACCAUAUUUUAAAGAAGUGUCUAAAAAUCCAACAUUUCCUGGGGGGGGGCAGCAUUUUUAAGGCUUGCAAAAUAGACUGACUUGGGCUGUUAAACAUUCAGAAACUUUUUACUACAAAGGGGGGAGGGUUUAAAACAUUUUAAAUUAGCUUACCUAAGUAGAGUAUAUCAUUACACAAUCACAUUAGAGAACAGAAAUGAAGAAGACAAAGAAAAGCUUAUCUAACUCCAGUACUUUCCUUGAGACACGAGGAGAGGUGGGUAUGGAAAUUAUUUUUAUUUUUAUUAGUAGUAGUAUUACUAAUACUAUUAAUUGAAAGGCCUCCAAAUAACUCUGGAGGCUUUCUGCUCCCCACCCUUCUUUUUUUUUUUUUUUUUUUUUUUUUUUUUGCAAAGAGGAGAAUGUCAUAGUGGCAAUUCUACCUUUAUUAACCCCCUAGUACCCAGGUUUUAAUUAAGGUUGUUUUGACCACUUUUUGGUCAUGGCUUGAGGGCCUCUACCAGUCCCUGGGCUCCCCAUGGGCCCGCCUUCUGCCCCACCAGUGCCAAAGGCCCAAGAACUUACUCUGAGAAGUCUUUGGAAAGACAUCUUUGUCUCUCUGCAACACAGGAAGACAAUAGAGGGCUACGUUCCGUUUUUUUUAUUGUGAAGUUUAUAAGCAACUAAUUUACAUUUCUUAUUACAAUAAAGAUUGUCUUUUCUCGAUAUAAUAAAAUACAUAAAUCACAGCUUACAACCAAUAUGCCAGGGUAAUGAGAGGGAAGGGUGGGUAUUGGGGAGAUGGGAAAAGGAUAGGGGAUAUGUGAUAUCGACACACAAAGUGAAUAGCAAUAUUGAAAAUAAGAAAUAAAAAUAAAAAAGACAUAAAAGAGAGAAAGAAAAAGAAAAAAAAAGCACACACACAAAAAAAGAGAAGCAAAAGUUUUACAUAUAAACAGUUGCUAUAUUGUCCUUGUUACUUCCAGAUCUCUGGAUGUGGUCCUUUUUGGGGUUUUUUCCCUUCAUUUGUUUUAUUUAUGUAGUUAAACCAAAUUUAACUACCUUUACUUUAUACUAUUUCCGCAUGUAAUUUCCUUAGUCCAACUUUAUAUAGAAAUUUAUUUUCUCUUUUUGUAAAAAUUCUUUCAUAGGUUUCCAAUCGGUUUUGUUUUAUGUUCUAUCCUGUGCUCAUUUUUGUGUUAAUAAGUCCAUAUUCAUCACGUCCAUUACUUUGUGGAGCCAUUUCUCCAUAGUAGGUAUUUCUUCUGAUUUCCAUACAUAUGCCAGCACUAUUCUCACUGCCACGGUGAGAUAGAAUAUUGGUCUGUCUGAAUUUUAUCUAUCUGUGUGUCAAUAAUCCCCAAUAAAAAGCAUUCCAGUUUUAAUUCGAUUUUUUGGUACAAUAUUAAUUACUUUUUUAUGUAUUUCUUUCCAAUUUUUUAUCUUCUUACAUUCCCACCACGUGUGUAGAAAGGUGCUGGUGUGCUUUCCGCAUUUCCAGCAUACUCCCUGGGUUUUCCCUCUAUUAACUUUAGCAAGCUUAUUUGGUGUCAAGUACCACAUAUGGAACAUUUUAUACCAGUUCUCUUUUAUUUCCGUAGCAUAGGCCUACCUAAACUUUUUUACCCAUAUCUCCUCCCAUUAGCGUAAAUAUAUAUUUUUUUAUUUAGUAUUUCCCUUUGUUCUUCGGUAAUUGUAUUAAUUUUUUGUUUUCCUAAAUAUUGCAUUAUGUUCUCGUUAGGGAUCUUUCCAUCACCAUAUAGUUUUUUGUAAUAGCUUAUGAAUUGUUUUUCUAUUUCAAUUUGUUUAAGAUAUAUUUUCCCCUCUUCCUCAAUUUUAUUUAUAUAGUGUUGAUGUUUCCUUUUUGUCACUUUCCAAGCUAGCCACCUUCCUAUCUUGUCUGCGUUUUCGAAAUGGUAUUGCUUUAUGUAUUUUAAUCUCUUUUCAAUUUCCUCCAACUGUGUUGUAUCCAUCUGUUUCUUCAAUACAUUCAGAUGUAAUUGAGCUUUAUUGUCUUUAGGGGUUUUUUUCAAUUUUACUUCGACUUCAGAGAUUUCUUUGUCUAACUUUUUGGUUUCACUUUUCCUUUUCUUAUCCCUAAUGAAUUUAUGUUGAAUGAAGUGUCCCCUCAUAUAUGCUUUGCUAGCAUCCCAUAUUGUUUCUAUCGCUGUUUCAUUUACUGAAUUGAGUGUGAAAUAUUCACUCAGUAUUUCCCUAUAUUUUAUUUGAUCUGUCUGUCCUGUAAGUAGCUGAUCAUUAAGUCGCUGUCUGUAUGUUGUCGCUCUAAGUCCGGGACUUCCUAAUGUUAUUUCUAAAGGUGCAUGAAAUUAAUCUUGGGAGAAUUUUUGAUUUAAUUAUCUUUGAUACUAUUUCUCUCAUUCCCCAAAUCGUAUCUAUUCUGGACCAUGAUUGAUGUCGGUCUGAAAAAAAAGUAUAGUUUUUCACUUUUGAGUUAAAAUAUCUCCAUACAUCAACUAAUCGGUGGUCCUCCUUAAAUAUUUUGAAACCUUUUGGAAGUUCACCUGCUGAUGGGAUCUUAGUAUUUUUAGCGGCUUUGGUUCUGUCCUGAGCUGCUUCUAAUACCCUGUUAAAAUCUCCCAUUAUGAUUAUGUCGUCGUAAUCUUGUUCUCCAAUUUUGGGAUUAAGUUAUUUUACAAAUUUUGUUUUUGUUCCAUUUGGAGCGUAUAUAUUACACAGCAGAAGCUUCCUGCCCCCCCCCCCCAUUCUAUAUUUAUUUCCAAUAUUCUGCCCUCUUGGUCUAAAUGCCAGUUUUGAAGGGAUUUUCUCAUUUAUGGCCCCUGGUGGGGGUGCAGUGUGUUAAAGCACUGAGCUGCUGAACUUGCAGACCGAAAGGUACCAGGUUCAAAUCCCAGGAGCGGAAUGAGCGCCCGCUGUUAGCCCCAGCUCCUGCCAACCUAGCAGUUCGAAAACAUGCCAAUGUGAGUAGAUCAAUAGGUGCCGCUCCGGCAGGAAGGUAAUGGCGCUCCAUGCAGUCAUGCCGGCCACAUGACCUUGGAGGUGUCUAUGGACAAUGCCGGCUCUUCGGCUUAGAAAUGGAGAUGAGCACCAACCCCUAGACUUGGUCACGACUGGACUUAACAUCAGGGAAAUACCUUUACCUAAACCCCUUUUUUUCUCUGCACUUGAAGUGUAAUAUAGUUUUCCUAAUUUUUUCUACUCUAAGUGUGUGACAUGUUUGUGGGAGAUAUGCAUUUCCUGAAAAGAAAUAAUAUCAUAAUACCCUUUUUGAAAUUGGAGCCAUAAUCCUUUUCUUUUAUUUGGGCUGUUAAGCCCAUUGACAUUGUUUAAGUAUAUUUUAAUCUUUUGUGAUGGUUUCUUCUUCUAUUUCUUUAUCACUGUCUACCAUUGGGUUUGCCAUUGCCAUAUCCAUUUGUGUGAGAUAAUCUUUGGGGGAUUUCUCUCUCAUCCUUUUCUUUUCUCUGCCGCAAAUUUCGUCAUAAUUAUCAUCUCCUGUCAUUCCAUCACCUUUCUGAUACUUUUCGUGUUUUUCCUGGCCAUCUCUCCCAUUUUUAAUAUUUUUUUGUAAAAUGCCUUUGCUCUAUAUUCUGAUGUAAGCCAAUGUUUAAUUCCCUCCCAGGUGACCAUAAGUCCCUCUCUUUUCUCCUAUUUAAAUCUCACAUUUCUUUUCUUUAAUUCAUCCAUUAAGAAAGUAUAUUUUCGUUUCCUUUCUAUAACUGACAAAGGGUUUUCCUUUAGUAUUGCUACUUUGUUUCCUUUGUAAUAUGUUGGUGUUAUUGCAUUUUCUUUUAGAACUUCAUCUCUUAGAUUUUUCCUGCCGAAGUCUUGGUUAGACGUCUCUUGGUAUAUUAUGCAUCUAGCAUAAUUGGUUUGUACUCUAAAGACUCUGUCUAUACUUCCUUCUAAUUCCUCAAUUGUUUUUUGGGUUAUUUGUGUUAUCAUUUCCAUAAUUAUAUCACUAAUGUUUUCCUUUUCUUCUUCCAGUAUAUUCCUAAACCUCAGUUAGUAUUCUUUUUCCUUUGCCUCUAAUAUCUCCUGUUGUUGUUUAAGUGCCGCAACUGUUUUUUCCAUUACAUUCAUAUGGAUAUUUUUCCAUAUCCUUUUGUUUUUUCUGUAAUAUAUUAUUCUCAUUGAUACAGUCUUUAUUUCCUUGUUUUAUCAUUUCUAUGUCUUUUUGAGCUGAUUUUAGUUCUUCUUUUAUAGUUAACUAUAACUCCUCUUUCAAUUCUUUCUUUAUCUCUUCCAUCUGCUCUUUAAUUAAAUUGUAUUGCCUAUCCUGCUUCUCUUGCAUUUUUUGUACCUCUAUUUGAUUUUUAAAAAAUUUCCCUCAUAAUGUCCUUCAUAUUAAAUUCCUUUGUUAUUGAAUCCUUCCUCCCUUGAGUUCCUUGAAUUUUCUUUUCCUUAUCACUUUCUAUUUUAAAUUUUGGUGUAGUCAUUCUCUUUUUCUUUAUAAGUUUAAUAUAUGUUGUCCUUGCCCCUCCACUAAUACUAACGUUCAAUAAUUUGUGUCCCAGGAGGAGCUACUAAUUGGCUGCUCGAGCAGUGGGCUGCCUGUUCUAUUCACUGCUACUAGGGAUUUUUUUAAAGGGGAACCAAUCUAAAUGCUUAAGGUGUUUAAAAUUUAAAACAAACAAAGGGAAGAUCUAACCUACAUAUUACAAGCCCUGUGUAUUAAUAGAACUAAUACUAGUUCCAGCAAUAAUUAACCUGCACUGUUCGCAGUCUCUAAUAAUUUUAAGAGGAUCAAAUCUAAAAGCUUAUGUCAAAGGUCAGACGCCAACUGAGAGCAAAAUAUAGUUUAACUAACAAUUCAAAAAUAGCUCAGUAAAUUGUCAAAGGCUUAAAACACUUAAUCUUCAGUGUUAUUAAGCAGUCAAAACAGAAAAAAAUGCCAAAAACAUGAACUGGCAUAUAAUCCGGAGUAACCAGAGAUAUAAUCCGGAUUUAACAUAAAGUACUUGAACUCAGCCCAAAGACACAAAACGGGCUAAAAAUGGCAAAACAAACAAAGGUAAUUCACCGCAAAGCCCCAAAACCCAGGAGUACAGCAGCGAUUCCAAACUGAGGCAAAAACCCAAACCGGGUUAAAGGCUCUUCGCCGAAAGCGGCACAAACAAACAAACCUGGAAAAUGCUGAGGAGUUAGCGGCAAGCCGCUGCAGAGACGAAAGCCAGACCAGGAGCCAAAGGAGCAUAGUGUUGUAGCGAAGUCAAGCUGGUCCGAAGUCGGGAUAAGGGAACAUUCCUCAUCAGAAUCAACAUCAUCCUGCCCACACCCCACUCUGUCCACACCUGUGGAACUACCCUGAUUCCUCCAGGCAGGCCAUGUGGGAUCUGCUUCUGAAGAUACCCAAGCCUCUCCAGCAUCCACAACCUCCAUGGACCCAGAUUCCUCCCCAAGAUCCUUCGGAGCCUGUGCCCAAUCUAUGGCAACUUCCUCUGUCACCACUGGUUUCUCGGCAUCCAUUUCCAGCUCAAGAUCCCCUCCCAAGUCCCCACAUGAAUCCUCCUCGGACGACUCCCCAUCAAUCUCCCUUAAUCUCUUCCUGUGUAAAUCUUCCAGCAAGCCCUCCUCAUGAGGGUUCUUCCUCUCCUAAUCUCUCCAUUAUCAUUCACAGCCUCAGAAGACUCAUUCACAACAACUUAUGGUAUUUGAAACUCAAGAGAAACAAUGGGUGGGUCUAAUCUUCCUAUUGCAAAUCCUGUGUAUCUUGUGAGAAAUAGUAAUUAACCUCAAGAGUAGCACAGUUAGUGCAGUUGAUACUAGUUCAGUUAAUAGGCAACCUGAACUGUUCGCUGUCUCUAAUAGAUACCGGAAGUCCCGCUAUGUUCCGUUUUGUCUUCCUGUCACAAACGGAACCAGUCUGCUUCAGAACUGCAUUCUCAUGGCAAUGGUGUAAACCAAGGGGCCCCAGACUCCAGGGAAGUGAUGCCCCCCCCCCACCAAAUUUGAAACCAGUGUUAACAAAUUAAUGAACAAUUAGAAGAAAUAAGAGUCCAACACAUUAUACAGGCCUCCAAAAUCAAGACCAGAGGACUUCUUGGAAAUCAAUCAAUUUGUGGAAAAACAUUAAAGGGAUACUGCAUCCCCUGUCUGAGAAGGGACUUUCAGAGCCUGAGAACAGACACUGGGAAGGUUUUGUCCCAUGUUUCUACCAAAUGGGCCCAUCAGUUACAAGUACAUAUUUCGUUGGUGCUCACAGCCAUUUCUAAUCCGAAGACCCGGCAUUGUCCAUAGACACCUCCAAGGUCAUGUGGCCGGCAUGACUGCAUGGAGCGCCAUUACCUUUCUGCCGGAGCUGUACCUAUACACUGCCCUAUACCCCAGGAUCUGAUCCCAGAUUGUUUUCUUAUCCCAGAUUAUCUGGCAGUGUAGACUCAUAUAAUCUGGUUCAAAGCAGAUAAUCUGGGAUAGGAUCCUGGACUAUAAAGCAGUGCAGACCCAGCCUGAUUGCUCUAAAAGUAAAGGUUUAACACUCAGUGAGAACUGUAAGGAGAAGAGAGAUCCCCAAUUAUUUUAGAAGAGCUUCCUUUUGAAUAGGAAGUUGGGUGCAUUUUUGCUGCUGCACUCUGGACUCCCUGCCUUCUGGUCAAGGUUUGUAUGGUCUAAGGCUGAGAGAGUGUGACUUGGCCAAAGUCACCCAGUAGAUGCAAACAACUGGAUCCAGAAAUAUUUUGAUAUUUGGGGGAGCCAGGUUGUGUAGUGGUUUGAGCCUAGAGACCGGAGUUUACAUCCUGCUCCACCGUGGAAACCCACUGGGCAACCUUGGGCAAGUCACAGUCUCUCAGCCUCAGAGGAAGACCGAGGCAAUCUAAACCAAUUUUGCCCAGAAAAGGUUGUGACUGUAGGUUCCCAAGGACUUGAAGGCACAUAACAACAAGGCCUCUUUAUCAGGAUGGAACAGGAUGAAUGGGAAAAAAUUGAUCAGAGGAUUAUAUAUUUAAAAAUAUAUGAUAACGGAGGAAGAUGGAAGAAAGGAGAAGGGGAAGAUAUAAAUGCAUUUUGCCCCAAACCUCCAACUUUAUCUAUUCAUGUUUACCGCGUUCAAUUCCCUACCCAUAGCUAGUUUUUUAAUAAGAGUGUAAUAAGACUUCCUUAUCAGCAGGGUUUACUUCCGAGGACCACAGAGUAAAAUCAAUGCCAUGAGGGGUUUAUCUGCUUUGAACUGGAUUAUAUGAGGCCCCUUUUACACAGCCACAAAAAUCCAAAAACUGAAUUAUAUGGCAGUGUAGACUCAUAAAACCUAGUCCAAAGCAAAUGAUGUGUAUUCUUUGCUUUGAUAAUCUGGAUUAUAUGGCAUUGUAGAAGGGGCCUGAGUUUACACUGCCAUAUAAUCCAGUUCAAAGCAGAUAAUCCGGAUUUUAUAUGGUAUUGUAAGAGCCUCAGAGAUACUUGCUUACACUUAACUUAGUAAAAGUUUAGGAUUUAUGGUAUGUAGGUGAAUUUCCUUCUGAAGUCUAAUGUCGGCCCCAUGUACACUGACCAUUAAAUGUCUUUCAAACUCAGAGGUAUUUUUGCAAAUUUGGUGCUAAAUUUGUAAAUAUAGUAUUUCCUACAUAACAUUACCAUGUAUUGAACUGCUUUUUCUGUCGUUUUGUUGUAAAACAUGAUGUUUUGGUGCUUAAUUUGUGAAAUCAUAAUGUAAUUUGAUGUUUAAUAGGCUUUUUCUUAAUCCCUCCUUAUUAGUCAACAUUUUUGCUUAUCCAAUGCUUUUAUUUUUCAGUGAUUGGUUUGGGGGGAGCACCAAAAUUCUGUUUGCCUACACUUGAAAAUUACCUAGGGCUGGCCCUGGAGGCACAUCAAUCAGUUCUGGAUGGGGUUACACUCUCCAUGAAAGACUGUGGUUUCAGCUUGGGGGAUGGGGGUGCGCCCCUCGAUCCAUCUCUUAAAGUGUAUGAACAGCACUUCUGGAUGGUAUCAGCCCCAUAGCCAAGCUGGGAUGGAAGAAGCGAGGGCCUCAUUCAAGCAGAGUCCUUUUCACCGGGUACCCUGACUAGAGGAGAAGGAGGAACAUCUGUGGGUAUGGGCACACGAUGG